rnacentral:rRNA from 1 species
AUUGAACGCUGGCGGCAGGCCUAACACAUGCAAGUCGAGCGAGUGGCGGACGGGUGAGUAAUGUGUGGGAAUCUGCCCGAUAGGGGGGGAUCACUAGUGGAAACGGUCGCUUAUACCGCAAACUAUCCGAUGAACCCAUAUGGGAUUAGCUAGUGGGUGGGGUAAAGGCUCACCAAGGCGACGAUCUCUAGCUGGUCUGAGAGGAUGAACAGCCACACUGGAACUGAGAACCGGCCCAGACUCCUACGGGAGGCAGCAGUGGGGAAUAUUGCACAAUGGGCGCAAGCCUGAUGCGGCCAUGCCGCGUGUAUGAAGAAGGCCUUAGGGUUGUAAAGUACUUUCAGCGGGGAGGCGUUACCGGCAGAAGAAGCACCGGCUAACUCCGUGCCAGCAGCCGCGGUAAUAC